AUGGAAUAGAAAUUGAAGAGAAUAUUAUGACUCUUUUCAAAACCCUCCUAAAACCACUUUUUCGCUCAUCUCUAUCCUCUGAGUUCAGAGAAUGGAAUCUCUUUCAAGUUCAGUGUUCAUCUCCAGAUUCCCAGAAACAUACCCAACUAUCAACACCCCAUCUUCUUCUACUACUUCUUCUCCUUCUUUGUCAGUAAUCAAGUUAUUGAAUAAUCCAGUUGGGUCUCUCAAACUUGCCCAAACUGCACGUUUUCCCAGCCCUUGCGUUCACGCUGUCGCCAGUGAGGUAUCGGGAGGGGAAGAGGAAGAUCAGAGGCCCUUAAAUAAUGGGUUUGGCUUUGUUUCUGAUGAUACCCUUUCUUUGUCUCAGGAUAAUUUAAAGCAGAAUAAAAGCAUUGAAAAGAAUGCAGAGAAAAUAGUAAAGGUGGAGACACCUUUGGUGGUUCCGCAUGGAAGUGGAACUGGUGGGGGAACCAGAGCUGGACUUUUUAGAACUCCAAUUUCUGGUGGGGUGCAGAGUGCAACCUCAGCUCAUGGCUUACCUCGACCAGCAUUGGCAGUUCGCAAUUUGAUGGAGCAGGUGAAUUUUGUUUUUUGGUUACCAUACACAAUCAUCUCUUGCAAUAUGUUUGACUAGUCGUCUUGAUGUAGUAGUUCUAAUCUAUCUUGCUUUGUAAGUAAGGCUAGAUUUGCUCAUCUAUGCACUGUAAUGUCUCGAAUGCAUCAUCGAAGAGAAGGAUAUCCAUUUGGUUCCCUGGUUGACUUUGCACCAGAUUCAAUGGGACGUAAGUUUUCAAAAUUUUCAGUGCUUUGCCAAUGAAUACCAAAAGAAAAGUUGAUGCGAUAUUGUAUGAUGUGAUGUGAUUUUUCAAUCUCAUACUCGUGAAAUUUUGUGGAUUAUAAAUCAUGUCCUUUAUAUGUUUCUACUCUUUGUAAAUUUCAUGUUUAUUUUAUUUGGCUAAAAAAUUUAAUAUAUUUGUAAGAGCCCUAUUAAGAUGGCUUUUAUUCUGCUAUGUUUGGCCCAUGACUUUCAUAUUCAACAAUGAUUUAAAAAUAUAAUAAUGCAUUUGAUAGUUUAUGUAUUUGUUCAUGGCAUAAUUGAUUUCCAUAGUUGCUGUUCUCAAUCUGCAGAUCCCUUAUUUUCAUUUUCUCCAUUGGCCAUCCACUCACGAAACUUGUUAGCAGACCCUAGAUGCACGCUUGUUGUGCAGAUACCUGGAUGGAGUGGCUUGUCAAAUGCAAGGGUCACAAUCUUUGGUGAUGUCUUCCCACUUCCAGAACAUCAACAGGAGUGGGCUCAUAAGCAGUAUAUUGCAAAACAUCAACAAGGGCCUUCUCAGCAGUGGGGGAAUUUCUACUACUUCAGGAUGGAGAAUAUAAGUGACAUAUACUUUAUUGGAGGCUUUGGCACUGUUGCUUGGGUUGAUGUUAAUGAAUAUGAGGCCCUUCAGCCUGAUAAAAUUGCAGUUGAUGGAGGGGAGCAAAAUCUUAAGGAACUCAAUGCAAUCUUCUCAAAGCCCCUUAAAGAGCUGUUGUCCACCGAAACAGAGGUGGAUGAUGCUGCUCUGAUAUCAAUAGACAGCAAAGGAAUCGAUAUUCGGGUCCGUCAAGGUGCACAGUUCAAUGUACAGCGGUUAUCAUUUGAAGAGGGGCAUGCAGUUGAAACAUUAGAGGAAGCUAAGGAUGCUCUAUGGAAGCUAAUAAAUAAAGGCCAAGUACACAAUUUGCACAAAUAAAAAUUUGAUGGCGCAUUGUUCUUCUUGAGCUUCUUCUUGUGUUUUUAAUGGCUAACUUACUCUAGUUUAUAUUUACUAGAAUCACUCAGUUUUGCUUCUGUAUUAAUAAAGUUGCUAUAGCUUUUGUGAAAAUUUGCUAAAUUUAGUAAGGUUUAUUAUUGUUAAAU
rnacentral:misc_RNA from 1 species